CUCGGUUUGAACUGUUAUUAAUUUUUAACUCUGGCUUCCAAAUGAACCAUAUGAUGAGAUUAUAAACCCUUGUGAUUAAUUAUUUGAUUUCUCUUUUCUAGUUUGUAUCUGAGAUACAAUCAUGAAGUGCCGUAUUGCUGCAAAAGAGGAAUGGCCGGGAACAGCUACAGGUGAUGCCUCGGUUUUUCGGCAGGAGCUGGCACCAUAUGCUUUGGAUGGAAGUCGAUGUCUGCAAUAUGCCAGUUUGGGAUGGUAUCCACUCCGUCUUCAUUCAUAAUUGUUAAAUACGUGGCUCUAAACCCAGAUGCAUGAGGCUUCACAUCUCUUGUCAAAUUUUCUAGCUAAAUAUGCUCUAAAUAUAUGCAUGUCUCUUUACUGAAAUCUAAAAAGACAAAAUUGUAUCAUUAUAUAUCCUGAAUGCUUUUGUUAACCUUGUUGAUGACCAGGUUUUAGAAUCCAGCUACGUUUCUGGCAUCGGUAAUAUUCAUGGCAAUUAAUUUCACUAAUUAUUCAGCAUAUAUGGAAAAUUCCUUUUUAUCCACUUAGAUUGUGUCAAUUUUCAAUGAUCUCUUGUUUGUACAAGCUGAGACAAUGAGAACAUUUUUGCUGUCAUUCAUUAUCUGACAUAAAGUGGAUAGCCUUGCUUUUUCAAAUGCCUUACUAAUUCCUAUCACUGCGCAGAAGUUGUUUUCAUAGGAAAAUAUCAGCAAGUGGUCAGCAAACCUUUAUUCUGUGCACCUUCUAGACUAGGAAUUUGUCUAUAACAAAAACGUAUGUUGUGGCUUAUCUUAUAUAUCCUUCUAAAAAUUCACUGAAUACGAUUCCCAUUGGGGAUGCCUGUAAAUAUGCUGUUGUACAGAUGAGGAGGGAUCCUCUCCUAGCAAAAUAAUAAUCCUGAGAGCCUCAGGGAGGUUCAAGGAAUGCAUAACACUUUGAAUGGCAAGGUGGGGGAGCAGCAACCUCAGCCAUAGCUAGCUGUGCACAGCUGGGAGCAGCCAAACCCUUUGGCAUUUCUGCCAGAGCUGGUACCAGAGUCGGGCUCGUGCUGCGUGAACCCAGAGGACCAAAGCACACGGGAAGGUUGGGGCAAAGUCCUGGCCAGCAAAGGCAGGCUCCCCUGGCACGCUUCCUGUUGUAGGUAGCUGUCAAACAAGGCUGCGGAGAAUUGUGAAGGUUAUGUUAGAUUACGAAAAUGAGAUGGGAGAUGGUAGUCGCUUUGUCAGAUAAAUAAGUCAUAAUUCCUCUAAGAGAAAGGAGUCUAAGAAUAACUCAACCUA
rnacentral:lncRNA from 1 species